rnacentral:rRNA from 1 species
UACGUAGGGUGCGAGCGUUGUCCGGAAUUACUGGGCGUAAAGAGCUCGUAGGUGGUUUGUCGCGUUGUUCGUGAAAACUCACAGCUCAACUGUGGGCGUGCGGGCGAUACGGGCAGACUGGAGUACUGCAGGGGAGACUGGAAUUCCUGGUGUAGCGGUGGAAUGCGCAGAUAUCAGGAGGAACACCGGUGGCGAAGGCGGGUCUCUGGCAGUAACUGACGCUGAGGAGCGAAAGCGUGGGAGCGAAC